rnacentral:miRNA from 1 species
CCGACUCAAUUCUCAAAUAAAACCUUCACUGACCUGCACUGCAGACACGCGUGUCUGCAGUGCAGGUCAGUGAAGGUUUUAUUUGAGAAUUGAGUCGGUGCAUUG